rnacentral:rRNA from 1 species
UACGUAGGAUGCAAGCGUUGUUCGGAAUUACUGGGCGUAAAGAGUACGUAGGCGGUGACAUAAGUCUGAUAUUAAAGACAGGGGCUCAACCUCUGGAGUGUAUCGGAAACUGUGUUACUAGAGGACAGUAGGGGAAGUCGGAAUUCUCAGUGUAGCGGUGAAAUGCGUAGAUAUUGGGAAGAACACCGGUCGCGAAAGCGGACUUCUGGGCUGUUACUGACGCUGAGGUACGAAAGUGUGGGGAGCAAACAGG